AGCAGGUAUGUUGUGAUUAUGGUUUUGGGUUUCUUUCAUUCUCCCAAAUUCUUUCCCAAUUUCUUUGGAUUUCUUGUUUUUUGUUUGUGCGCCAGAAAUGUGAUUGCUUUCAGUUUUGGAUCUUUGUUUUGCCAUUUUUUUAGCUUAGUGUUUGCUGUUUUAGUUACUAUGAUCAUGAUCUGCGCUGUAUUCAUACUGAAUUUUUUUUGACGGUAUCUUAUUGUUUAAGGGAAAAGAUUGGAUUUAUUGAUUUGGAAGUUUUUGACUUGGUGGAUCGAUGGUUUUAUGGUUGCGAUGUGAAUUGGGUUUUCGAAUUGAAAUAAGUUUUUGCAUUUCUUGUGAGGUCAAGCACUAUGAAUUACAGUAAUCGUUUAAUGGCUUCUGGAAAUGUUUCAGUUCUUUGUAACAUAUAUCUCUGCUGAACUUUAGUUUUUGGAAUUAGUUUUGAUUUUGUAGAUAUCUCAAUGGAGGAAUGAAUUACCAAUCACCUGAAAAAUUUUGAAGCUAAAUAGCUUUCUGUGGGAUUGUGCUGUCUAAGUCUUGAUCAAUUACAGAGAUCUUCCGUUGGAAAGUCCUCAAAUAAUCUCCAAACGCUACUAACAGCUGCUGUUUGUGAAGCAGCGUUGAAUUUAAUUUAUUUUCUUCUUCUUUGCGCUUCCAACAUCUGGCUUGAUGUUCCCAGAUCUUAAGAUGCGCUUUCUCCUUAUUACUUAUCAAAUCCUUGAAAAUCUCCUGAAACAAUCUUUGAACUGUUGCCGACAUCAGUUUUGAGUUCCUGUGGCACUCUUCUAUCAAGUCACAAGAUAUUUAAUCUUUAACAUUUUAAGCUUUAACUGUUUUUGGUAUAUAUGAGCUAGGCUUGUUUUGACUUUUAUUUAUAUUGUCUUCUACUUUGACUCUUAAGAUUUUCAUCCUUACUUUUGGCCCAAUAACUGCUGAUUUUUACCAUAGCAUGAUUUUGUUGAUCAAUGGGUAGAAAUUUUGGCUUCCCACUUGGCAUUUUGGAUUUCAUAUGCAUAACAUUAUGAGCUAUCUGUGCAGGCAAACUUGCUUCCUGUUAA
rnacentral:misc_RNA from 1 species